AUUUCUCUUUAAUUCCGCUGGGAGAAAGAAACGUCAACGUAAAAUCGAAGUUAUCGUUCAAUAUCUUAAAUCUAGGUUCCGCUUUUCGUUCUUUUCCCAUUUCAACCACAGAAGUCUUUUACAAAUAAGCAGGGGGGGGGGGAUCCAGGCAAAGACAACAGCGAUAACUAAUUGUUACUCGCUUGGGUUUACAAACGCAUUGUCACCGGAUUACUUCUGGUAGAUUACGUAACAAUCUACCAUGAUUUUAACAGGGAACGCGAAAUAUUUCAAAAUUACGAAAGCAGUGUGUCUAUUGGAAGUUUCUUUGAGGAUGUUCGAUUGGUAAUCUAGAACGGAUGGCCUGUUAAAUAGCGCGGAUUCUAAUAGAUUCUAUUGUCUUUUAACUGUUGAGGUUUCUGUCGCACUUUCAAUGAAGGACUGCAAUUGCUAAAAUUGCAUCUUUUCAUAAUAAGUAAGCAUAGCGUCCUGCUCAAACAUUCUCUGAAUAUUUAUCUGAGUCCUUCAUGCAAAUAUAUGACUCAGGCACCCUAUGGUUUUAGGCUGUUUUAGUUGUAGCGACUUGCAACAUAUAGAAAGUAUGUUUGUAGGAUGUUUCCAUGCUCAUAUUGUAUGUUUUGCAUGCUUAAUAAAUUAUUUUGUAAAAUUCAUACUCGGGUACCCUGUGGCACUGGUUUCUGCUUCUUUUUCAAAACCUUGCCUAGCUAAUGGCUAUAGAAGCCCUUCCUUGAGCAGUAGAGGGGGUCUAAAUCAACUUUGUACCAAGUACUUCAAAUUUUAAUCAGUCAAUCUUUUAUUACAAAAUAUUCAAAUUAGCAGGAUACUGUCUACAACAUUAUUUUCCAUGGACUUUACUUAUAUCAUUUAGAAUCAAAUACCUAUAUAAACGAAGUUGUAGUUGUACUUGAAAAACAUGAUAUUAUUUACAGAUGCAUUAAAUUCAAACUAGACAAUUAUGAUUCAAAAUACAGUUUAUAAUACAGCUGUUCUCUUUCUUUUUGAGAAAAUAUUUAUUGCCCUGCCAAAAUAAGAAUGCAAUUUGACAAUAUGCAGUUUAAAAGUUAAAUAAGAGUGUAAGCUUAAGUAGUUAUUAAGAUAUAAGUUAAAUCACAAGAAUUCUUUUGUAAACUUUAUUUCGCUUCUUAUUUCAGACACAUUUUUUAAACGCCAUCUAUCUCAAAAAAACAUAGCUAGGAAUGUUGUCACGUCCAUCAAAUAUUAGAGAGACCCAAAAAUUUAUUUUCAAAGCUAAGCGCUUUUGUUGUGCGAAUGGGAGGUUUGGAAUGUGAAAAUGGCUGGAUUAGACGAGCGAGUUUUAAUGCUCAAAAUGUAUCGUUUUGCUUAUUUAUUGAAGGUAGGAUGUUCCUGGUACUCUAAUGCAAAGAUACAAAGAUAAAUAAAUCUGUCAUCUUUACCGGUUCUACAUUAUUUUAUGGCUACUUGCUCCAAGGCACGCCAUGCAUCGUGAUAAAAACCCCUCUGAAAAUCUUAUCGAUUUUUGCCACUAAAAAUAAAAUAAAAUUUUGAGCUUUUUGCUAAAGACGAAUAACAGAAUUACAAGAAAAGUAUUUUUCUUACCUAUUAUCGCCUUUUGAGGGAUGUGGAAGCUCAAACUCGUAGGCAGGCGUAGUUAGAAAAAGCAAUGGUGAUGGCGGUGAUUUGAAUUUUUUAUGGAGGUUCUCGGGGGCUCUUCACUCCAGGAGGUUGAGUGACAAUGAGACCCCCCGCGAGGGCCCGGGGCUCGCCUUUUUAUACCGGAACUCCGUGUUUAAAAGCCCGCGAACAAUCUGCGAUGUGAUUGGCUGAUACGGAUAGCUUCAACCAAUUAGGGAAGACAAGUAGAGAAGCCAUUCAAAUGUUUCUAGCGUAUCAAAACCGGCCCGGAUCCGUGUGAGCACUUCAGCAAACUGCCAGAUUUUGUGCGGGUCCGUCUGAACAGGUGUUCCAGGUACAGUAUUUGUGCGGACGAAUAUUCGUCCGGAUCCGUGAGAACAGGGUCUUAGAUACACUGAGGAGGUCGAGGUAGCUAUAGUAUGGCUAACCACGCAUUCUUCCGCGCGAUGUGUAUGGUGAUGAUGGCCGUGAUGGUGGAAGUGCGCGGAUGCGAGAUGGCCAAGUACCGUUCUACCGCUAAAGUCAAGACCCCAGUUAUAAUUGAUCUCAGAGCCGAAGAGAGGACCUCGUAGACUCACUCGAUUGCCUCGGACGGCAGACCUCAAUCACGAGACAAUACGUCAUAAUAAGGAUCUGAUUUUUAAAGAGUAUUUUAUUAUGUAUACUUAUUUGAUAAUUAAACAGUGUUAGUGUGA